rnacentral:tRNA from 1 species
GGGCCGAUAGUUCAGCCUGGAAUGAAUGCCUGACUUGCACUCAGGAGGCCGCGGGUUCAAAUCCCGCUCGGUCCA